ACGAACGCUGGCGGCAGGCCUAACACAUGCAAGUCGAGCGCACCUUCGGGUGAGCGGCGGACGGGUUAGUAACGCGUGGGAACGUACCCUUUUCUACGGAAUAGCCUCGGGAAACUGAGAGUAAUACCGUAUAAGCCCUUCGGGGGAAAGAUUUAUCGGGAAAGGAUCGGCCCGCGUUAGAUUAGAUAGUUGGUGGGGUAAUGGCCUACCAAGUCUACGAUCUAUAGUUGAUUUGAGAGGAUGAUCAGCAACACUGGGACUGAGACACGGCCCAGACUCCUACGGGAGGCAGCAGUGGGGAAUCUUAGACAAUGGGCGCAAGCCUGAUCUAGCCAUGCCGCGUGAGUGAUGAAGGUCUUAGGAUCGUAAAGCACUUUCGCCAGGGAUGAUAAUGACAGUACCUGGUAAAGAAACCCCGGCUAACUCCGUGCCAGCAGCCGCGGUAAUACGGAGGGGGUUAGCGUUGUUCGGAAUUACUGGGCGUAAAGCGUACGUAGGCGGAUCAGAAAGUAUGGGGUGAAAUCCCGGGGCUCAACCCCGGAACUGCCUCAUAAACUCCUGGUCUAGAGUUCGAGAGAGGUGAGUAGAAUUCCGAGUGUAGAGGUGAAAUUCGUAGAUAUUCGGAGGAAUACCAGUGGCGAAGGCGGCUCACUGGCUCGAUACUGACGCUGAGGUACGAAAGUGUGGGGAGCAAACAGGAUUAGAUACCCUGGUAGUCCACACCGUAAACGAUGAAUGCCAGUCGUCGGGCAGUAUACUGCUCGGUGGCACACCUAACGGAUUAAG
rnacentral:rRNA from 1 species